AGCUACAGGCUUAACACAUGCAAGUCGAGGGGCAUCAGGAAGAAAGCUUGCUUUCUUUGCUGGCGACCGGCGCACGGGUGAGUAACACGUAUCCAACCUGCCCUUUACUCGGGGAUAGCCUUUCGAAAGAAAGAUUAAUACCCGAUAGUAUAAUGAUUCCGCAUGGUUUCAUUAUUAAAGGAUUCCGGUAAAGGAUGGGGAUGCGUUCCAUUAGGUUGUUGGUGAGGUAACGGCUCACCAAGCCUUCGAUGGAUAGGGGUUCUGAGAGGAAGGUCCCCCACAUUGGAACUGAGACACGGUCCAAACUCCUACGGGAGGCAGCAGUGAGGAAUAUUGGUCAAUGGGCGCUAGCCUGAACCAGCCAAGUAGCGUGAAGGAUGAAGGCUCUAUGGGUCGUAAACUUCUUUUAUAUAAGAAUAAAGUGCAGUAUGUAUACUGUUUUGUAUGUAUUAUAUGAAUAAGGAUCGGCUAACUCCGUGCCAGCAGCCGCGGUAAUACGGAGGAUCCGAGCGUUAUCCGGAUUUAUUGGGUUUAAAGGGAGCGUAGGUGGACUGGUAAGUCAGUUGUGAAAGUUUGCGGCUCAACCGUAAAAUUGCAGUUGAUACUGUCAGUCUUGAGUACAGUAGAGGUGGGCGGAAUUCGUGGUGUAGCGGUGAAAUGCUUAGAUAUCACGAAGAACUCCGAUUGCGAAGGCAGCUCACUGGACUGCAACUGACACUGAUGCUCGAAAGUGUGGGUAUCAAACAGGAUUAGAUACCCUGGUAGUCCACACAGUAAACGAUGAAUACUCGCUGUUUGCGAUAUACAGUAAGCGGCCAAGCGAAAGCAUUAAGUAUUCCACCUGGGGAGUACGCCGGCAACGGUGAAACUCAAAGGAAUUGACGGGGGCCCGCACAAGCGGAGGAACAUGUGGUUUAAUUCGAUGAUACGCGAGGAACCUUACCCGGGCUUAAAUUGCAGUGGAAUGAUGUGGAAACAUGUCAGUGAGCAAUCACCGCUGUGAAGGUGCUGCAUGGUUGUCGUCAGCUCGUGCCGUGAGGUGUCGGCUUAAGUGCCAUAACGAGCGCAACCCUUAUCUUCAGUUACUAACAGGUCAUGCUGAGGACUCUGGAGAGACUGCCGUCGUAAGAUGUGAGGAAGGUGGGGAUGACGUCAAAUCAGCACGGCCCUUACGUCCGGGGCUACACACGUGUUACAAUGGGGGGUACAGAAGGCAGCUAGCGGGUGACCGUAUGCUAAUCCCAAAAGCCUCUCUCAGUUCGGAUCGAAGUCUGCAACCCGACUUCGUGAAGCUGGAUUCGCUAGUAAUCGCGCAUCAGCCACGGCGCGGUGAAUACGUUCCCGGGCCUUGUACACACCGCCCGUCAAGCCAUGGGAGCCGGGGGUACCUGAAGUACGUAACCGCAAGGAUCGUCCUAGGGUAAAACUGGUGACUGGGGCUAAGU
rnacentral:rRNA from 1 species